rnacentral:rRNA from 1 species
GACGAACCGUGCGAACGUUGUUCGGAUUCACUGGGCUUAAAGGGCGCGUAGGCGGCUUGCCAAGUCAGGGGUGAAAUCUUCCGGCUCAACCGGAAAAGUGCCUUUGAUACUGGCGAGCUAGAGGGAGGUAGGGGAGCGUGGAACUUCUGGUGGAGCGGUGAAAUGCGUAGAUAUCAGAAGGAACGCCGGUGGCGAAAGCGACGCACUGGAUCUCUACUGACGCUGAGGCGCGAAAGCUAGGGGAGCGAACGGG